UUUGAAUAAAUUAAACCGCCGUAAUUUAAAUUAAUCUCCUUAAACAGGAAAUUAGCUGUUGGGUGCAAUUUAAAGUGAAUUUAUUUUUUAAAUAUAUAGCGGUAGAUUUCUUAUUUAAAUUUUUAUUAAAAGAUUUUUUAAUUAUUUUUCAAUCCAGUUCCACAUUAAAUGUAAUUUCUUUCUCUACUUAAUGUAAUUUAUAAUAAAUUUCUAAUAUUCAAUUGUGUGUAUAUGUUUAUUCCUAAAUUUUCAUUAUAGAUUUGUUAUUAAUUUAUACUGUAUUUGUUAUUUACACGUGUGUAGCGGG
rnacentral:rRNA from 1 species